rnacentral:rRNA from 1 species
UACGUAGGGUGCAAGCGUUUGUCCGGAAUUAUUGGGCGUAAAGAGCUCGUAGGCGGUUUGUCGCGUCUGCUGUGAAAACUCGGGGCUUAACCCCGGGCCUGCAGUGGGUACGGGCAGACUAGAGUGCGGUAGGGGAGACUGGAAUUCCUGGUGUAGCGGUGAAAUGCGUAGAUAUCUGGAGGAACACCGGUGGCGAAGGCGGCAUCCUGGACCGGCAUUGACGCUGAGGAGCGAAAGCCAGGGGAGCAAAGCGGG